rnacentral:rRNA from 1 species
UUGCUAGAGAAAGUAAAGUGGCGCACGGGUGAGUAACGCGUGGGUAAUCUGCCUCCGAAUCGGGGAUAACAUUGCGAAAGCGAUGCUAAUACCGGAUAAAAUCUGGUUGGCUUCGGUGAACCGGAUCAAAGGUGGUCUCUUUUAAAAAGCUACCGUUUGGAGAUGAGCUCGCGUACCAUUAGCUUGUUGGUGGGGUAAAGGCUCACCAAGGCGACGAUGGUUAGCUGGUCUGAGAGGAUGAUCAGCCACACCGGAACUGGAACACGGUCCGGACUCCUACGGGAGGCAGCAGUGAGGAAUUUUGCGCAAUGGGGGAAACCCUGACGCAGCAACGCCGCGUGAGUGAUGAAGGCUUUCGGGUCGUAAAGCUCUGUCAGGUGGGAAGAACCCACCAGGUGUAAACAUCACCUGGUGCUGACGGUACCACCGAAGGAAGCACCGGCUAACUCCGUGCCAGCAGCCGCGGUAAUACGGGGGGUAGCGAGCGUUAUUCGGAAUCAUUGGGCGUAAAGGGCGCGCAGGCGGUUUAGUAAGUCAGAUGUGAAAUCCCGGGGCUUAACCCCGGAAGUGCAUAUGAAACUAUGAGACUUGAGUAUGGGAGAGGGAAGCGGAAUUCCUGGUGAUACGGUGAAAUGCGUAGAUAUCAGGAGGAAC